UACGAAGGGGGCUAGCGUUGCUCGGAAUUACUGGGCGUAAAGGCGCGUAGGCGGAUAUCUAAGUUGGGGGUGAAAUCCCGGGGCUCAACCUCGGAAUUGCCUUCAAAACUGGAUAUCUUGAGUUCGGGAGAGGUGAGUGGAACUCCGGAGUGUAGAGGUGAAAUUCGUAGAUAUUCGGAAGAACACCCGUGGCGAAGGCGGUUCUCUGGGACGGUACUGACGCUGAGGAGCGAAAGCGUGGGAGCGAACAGG
rnacentral:rRNA from 1 species